UGGGUAGUCCGCACGAGCGCACCUUACUUUUAGUUGCUACCAUUCAGUUGGGCACUCUAAAAGAACUGCCAGUGAUAAGCUGGAGGAAGGUGGGGAUGACGUCAAGUCCUCAUGGCCCUUACGUGUUGGGCUACACACGUGCUACAAUGGUAUUUACAAUGGGAUGCAAAGAGGCGACUCUAAGCAAAUCCUAAACAGGUACCUCAGUUCGGAUUGCACUCUGCAACUCGAGUGCAUGAAGCUGGAAUUGCUAGUAAUCGCGGAUCAGCGCGCCGCGGUGAAUACGUUCCCGGGUCUUGUACACACCGCCCGUCACACCAUGGAAGUUGGUUACACCUUAAGGCAAAGUGUAAAACCUUUGACUACGGUACGAUCAGCGACUGGGGUGAAGUCGUAACAAGGUAGCCGUAGGGGAACCUGCGGCUGGAUCACCUCCUUUCU
rnacentral:rRNA from 1 species